ACCUGGCGGCGAGUGGCGAACGGGUGAGUAAUAUAUCGGAACGUACCCUGGAGUGGGGGAUAACGUAGCGAAAGUUACGCUAAUACCGCAUACGAUCUAAGGAUGAAAGCAGGGGACCGCAAGGCCUUGUGCUCCUGGAGCGGCCGAUAUCUGAUUAGCUAGUUGGUGGGGUAAAGGCCUACCAAGGCAUCGAUCAGUAGCUGGUCUGAGAGGACGACCAGCCACACUGGGACUGAGACACGGCCCAGACUCCUACGGGAGGCAGCAGUGGGGAAUUUUGGACAAUGGGGGCAACCCUGAUCCAGCAAUGCCGCGUGAGUGAAGAAGGCCUUCGGGUUGUAAAGCUCUUUUGUCAGGGAAGAAACGGUGUGGGCUAAUAUCCUGCACUAAUGACGGUACCUGAAGAAUAAGCACCGGCUAACUACGUGCCAGCAGCCGCGGUAAUACGUAGGGUGCAAGCGUUAAUCGGAAUUACUGGGCGUAAAGCGUGCGCAGGCGGUUUUGUAAGUCUGUCGUGAAAUCCCCGGGCUCAACCUGGGAAUUGCGAUGGAGACUGCAAGGCUAGAAUCUGGCAGAGGGGGGUAGAAUUCCACGUGUAGCA
rnacentral:rRNA from 1 species